CCCCGAUGGGCAGUACUACAGCUCGGAGAGAAUCACACGAGUCCUUCAGAUAGCAACUGGAGUAACUCCUGCACUUGACUGCACUGUUGAUAAGUUUGGCAAAUAUCAGCUCUACCAAGUYAUGUUUUGCGUGGAUAAAUCUGGGUCUGAAUUCAUGGAUUGCCCCGUCUACCCUGAGCCCACCUGUCCUUCGAUCAUUAGGUUUCCACCUUUCAGAGGAUCAGCCGCUGAAGGGAUCUACC